rnacentral:tRNA from 1 species
GAAGGUAUAGCUCAGUGGUGGAGUGUGUGCUUAGCAUGCACAAGGUCCUGGGUUCAAUCCCCUGUACCUCCA